AAAAUUACCUUCUUGAAGUACAUCCCAUCUCAGUUAGGAUUAAUUUCAGAAAAAGUGCUAUAAUUGAAAAUCGGAGUAAAACUACUGGUAUACAAGUCGUCCGCAGAAAAUAAAAUAAACAUUGUAAAACCGAUACAUUGGUUGGCUCCGCUCAGAAUUUAAAAUAUUAAACACGACAACGGUUAUUUCGGAUGUCAGACCGUCAGGUGUAACACCGCGCUUUAUACAAUUUUGUUCCGUCUAUACACAUAAUAUUAUGACUCCCUUGUCUGACCAUAUACGCGUGACGGUAUUGUUUCGAAAUAAAAAAAAAAAAAAAAAAAAACAGUAAUUAUAUAGUCCCGUGUCGUUGUAUUAUACCCGAAACGCUGAUAAUAAGUAUAUAAUAAUGUAGCGACGGCGGUGAUAAUGUUAUGCGAGUGCGAUAAUAUACGAUUUACUACGCGUGUAAGUAUUUUAAUACGGGGACGGCGCGGCAUAGUCUCUCGGGAGAAAGACGUCGUUGUCGAUAAUAAAUAAUAUUAGAGAUAAAAAAAAAAAAAAAAAAAAAUCCCGUCCGUUAGAACGCGUAUUAUUAUUAUUAUUAUUAUUGUAUACGUCGCGGAGUUUGAACACAUAUUUUUUUGUUCCUCGCGAUGCGUCGUUUUUUUUUUUGUGAGAGAAGAAAAAAUGGAAAAUGCCGCGAUAUCUCGACUAGCGCAGUAUAUCUUAAAAAUGUAUCUCGCGUCUUCGUGUAGCCAUACAAUAAUAACGACAUGUUUACCCCCCCCCCCCUCAUUUCGUGAUAC